CAGGACUAACAUUCACUGUUGUGGGCCUGGGAAAGUAAAGGCCAGUGUUGGAGAAGCCUGAGUGGGUAGGAACUGCCGGUGAUGUCUAGGGCCUGAGGGCAGCCUCCAGCAGACUCCAGUGAAAAGCCGAAAGUCUUCAGGCAUACUACCUGAAGACAAUGAAUCCUGCCAAGUCCCUGAAGGAACUUGAGAGCAGAUUCUUCUCCAGUUAAUCCUCCAGAUGAUGGUGAAACCUGAGAAACCCCUUGAAACUCUGAGCAGGUGACCCAGACCAGCCGCACCCAGAUUCUGACCCCUGGAAAUGUGCAUAGCAUUGCACGCUACAGAGAAAUCUUUCGUGAAAGGAAGAGUCAAUCGAUGCAGCAAGCUUCCCUGUUUUCUUAUUUUAAGAUUUCAACAGAUUUCUGAAGGUCAGCCAGGAGGGCCUGCGCUGCGCUGCCACACCGUUGAGGAGCUGCAGAGAAGGCCAGAGACGCUCAGCCACGAGGUCAGGAAGGGCUCUCGGCUCGGAGUCAGAAGGCAUUGGCUGAGGGCUGAGGUUGAGGCAGGCAUGCUGCUGAAGAGAGAAACAGUGACUGAAUCAGCACUUCCAUCCCUCAAUCCUUAUCCAAAAUGGAAAGCAAGUAACAGCUGAUAUUUCCCCAGUGCCAAACCCCAGAGGUUCUCCUCCAAGAAACUGAAAGGAAUGUUGGGGAAAGCUGAUGCUCCUAACUUGGAAGGUGGCAUUCCAAAUUAAAAAUAUUUGUUGUUGUUGUUGUUGUUACUAUUUGAGGGACUUGCAUCUCACAGCUAGCUCCUUACCCACUUCCUGUGAAGAAAGAGUCCUAAGCAGCGCUGUGUGCUGACCUCCAUACACCUUCACGUGCUACUUUUUAAAAGUCUGGUAGGAGACCUAGCCAGCAAAGAGCCGCACACACUAUCCCCCAUCAUCCAUCCUCCGAUUCUGUUUUGAGCAGCUGUGCAGAACUGCCUCUUAGGGCCUCAGCAACAUUUCUGAUUCUUUUGAUUGCAAAGACUAGGCGCCUGGAAACGUUUCCUAGACUGACUCCGCGGAAGGCACCUGCACAAGCGCCGGAUGGCAGAAUGGCUGCAGCCGGCCCUGCGCAUGCUCCCUGCGCCGCGCAUGCUCCCUGCGCCACCCCUGCUCCGCAAGAGAGACCUGCUGGGCCCGGACUCACCUCCGCGCUUCCCAUGGUUUUGUAGUUUCCAGUUCCCUUGGUUCAAUUACCUCCUGCAAAGACAUACCCAGAGUUGUUUCUCUUCUUGAAUGAAAUGCGACUCAUUAGGCAUGUAUAUAAGAGAAACUCAGCAAAUAAAAAACGAAUUUCAAAAUAUCAAUGUGGAAGAAUACCUGGCACUGGAGAAAAGAGAGAAUUUAGAGAAGAGACAAUCAUUAAAAAAAAACUAAAAAGUUCAAUUACUAUGCUUCCACAAAUUUUAAAAUAUGGUAAAUCCAUGAAACACAAACAAGAUAUUAUAGAAAAAAUUAGAGAACAAAGAAUCUCUCAAAUAAUGAAAUACAAUAUCUGAAAUAAAUGACUCCAGGCAAAGAUUUAGGAACAACCGUGAGGAAAUCUAAAACAAAAAGAUAAACAGUUAAUGAGAUUGGAAAAUAUAAAAGAUGACAAGAAAUUUAAAGACAUGAAAUUAUCAAAUAAAUGAUAAAAGAAAUAGCUGGGUGCAGUGGUGUGCACCUGUAAUCCCACCUAUUUGGGAGGCUGGGGCAGGAGGACUGCUUGAGCCCAGGAGUUAAGGCCAGUCUGGGCAACAUACCAAGACACUGUCUCAAAAAAAAAAAAAGAUAUUAGAAAAUGUCCAAGAACUAAAGAAAUACAUAAAUAUUUUGACUGAAAGAGAAAACUGAUUCCCCAGCACAUUUUUUUAAAUUCACCUCUUGAUUUUUUAAAAAAGUAUCUUCAUCUAAUUAUUGAUCAGCUAGACAUAAAGAAUCAUGAUGUGAUAACAGGGCAUAAAACACAGUGUUUGUUUUAUAAAAGAAUUUUCUUGAACUAGAGAUAAACUGUGUUACACAGUGGACCAUGGAAAUAUUUAAGCAA
rnacentral:lncRNA from 10 species